rnacentral:rRNA from 1 species
AGUGAACGCUGGCGGUAGGCCUAACACAUGUAAGUCGAACGGCAGCACAGUAAGAGCUUGCUCUUACGGGUGGCGAGUGGCGGACGGGUGAGGAAUACAUCGGAAUCUACUUUUUCGUGGGGGAUAACGUAGGGAAACUUACGCUAAUACCGCAUACGACCUACGGGUGAAAGCAGGGGAUCUUCGGACCUUGCGCGAUUGAAUGAGCCGAUGUCGGAUUAGCUAGUUGGCGGGGUAAAGGCCCACCAAGGCGACGAUCCGUAGCUGGUCUGAGAGGAUGAUCAGCCACACUGGAACUGAGACACGGUCCAGACUCCUACGGGAGGCAGCAGUGGGGAAUAUUGGACAAAGGGCGCAAGCCUGAUCCAGCCAUACCGCGUGGGUGAAGAAGGCCUUCGGGUUGUAAAGCCCUUUUGUUGGGAAAGAAAAGCAGCAGGUUAAUACCCCGCUGUUCUGACGGUACCCAAAGAAUAAGCACCGGCUAACUUCGUG